AAAUAGAAGCCAAGCAUCACCGAAAAUAAGUACCAAAAGUACUAAAAAGAAAAUAAAUAAAAAUAACAACAAGCCACAAACACCAAAAUCCGGCAAUCAACAGGAGCACCGGAGACACACCUAAGCACGAAAAAUAACCUGCACCAAAAUUAAAAACGGUAAUAGAGAAAAGAAGGUCGGAAAGAAAUACAAAGAACGUACAAUUAACCCACGAGUCCGAGAAAACGGAACCCAACACCAACACCCCAAUAAUUAUUAGUUGCUACCGGUAGAACUCUUUCCUGGAUAUAUGGUAACGAGAACACAAACGCCACCUUUGCAAUCUAUAUGCUGACCAUUUAGAAGUUUUUUAGCACGAUAGAUUAUAUAACAAUCUAUAUCAGUUUCACAUUCUUUGUGAACGUCGGGAAGUUCGAAUGAUACUAUCUUAUUUGGAUAACGGGUAGAUGUUGGAAUGUAAUUUGCAUUAUUGUAAACCGUCAUUGUAGUAAGAAAUAGAGUAAGAAAUAANNN
rnacentral:lncRNA from 1 species